rnacentral:tRNA from 1 species
GGGGUUAUAGCUCAGCUGGGAGAGCGCCUGCCUUGCACGCAGGAGGUCUGCGGUUCGAUUCCGCAUAGCUCCACCA